UAGGGAGUUACCACAAUGUCAUAACUUUAGAUAUCUAUGGUCAAUCGUGAGUAAUGAAGGAAAAAUAGAGGAUGAUAUUGUACAAAGAAUUAGAAUACGAUGAACAAAAUGAGGGGUGGAUCUAGAGUGUUUUGUGAUCGACAUAUCCCUUUAAAACUCAAAAAGGGAAAUUUUAUAGAACAGUUAUACAACCAACAAUGACGUAUGGGGCUGAAUGUUGGGCAGUUAAGAAAAAACAUUUAAACAGACUUAAUGCGGUUGAAAUGAGGAUGUUAUGGUGGAUGCGUGGUAAAAACUAGGAAAGAUAAAAUAAAGAAUGAACAAAUUAGAGCAAACCUGGACGUUGCCCCUAUUCAUGAUAAGUUGCGAAAACUCCUUUGAGGUGGCAUGGACAUGUGCAACAGAGGCCUUUGAAUGCUCCAGUAUGGAGAAGUAAUUUAUUUCACAAAGAAGGAGCUAAAAGAGCUAGUGGUAGGCCUAAAAUAACCAUAGGAGAAGUGGUGAGGAAAGAUAUGUAAAACUUAGGACUGGAAUCUGGUAUGGCUUUGAAUAGAGCUGAUUGGAGAAAUAGGAUCCAUGUAGCCAACCCCAUUUAGUUGGGAUAAGACUGAGUUG